rnacentral:lncRNA from 1 species
GCAUACAAAAGAUGUACCAGUCUUUUCAAAUAUUGAUUCUCGACUCAAUGUUCUUACGAUCAAAAAUAUUUAAGAUUAGAAUUUUAGGGCUUUAGAUCUCACAGGCAUGACCUAUUCAUGUCCUCUAAAAUCAUUAUCCUAAUCUAUGAGGUUCAUCAUAAUCCUUAAUAUGAAAAAAUAUAACUGAAAUGAUGAAUAAAAAAUAUUUUAUUUUUAUUUAUAUCA